rnacentral:rRNA from 1 species
UACGGGGGGGGCAAGCGUUGUUCGGAAUUACUGGGCGUAAAGGGCUCGUAGGCGGCCAACUAAGUCAGACGUGAAAUCCCUCGGCUUAACCGGGGAACUGCGUCUGAUACUGGAUGGCUAGAGGUUGGGAGAGGGAUGCGGGAUUCCAGGUGUAGCGGUGAAAUGCGUAGAUAUCAGGAAGAACACCAAUGGCGAAGGCAGCUCUCUGGGACGGUACUGACGCUGAGACGCGAAAGCGUGGGGAGCGAACAGG